UUGAACCAAAGAGAUAACCUGCAGCUAUGGAGUCACCGACUAAGGAAAUCGAAGAAUUUGAGAGCAACUCUCUGAAAUACCUACAGCCAGAGCAAAUAGAGAAAAUCUGGCUUCGUCUCCGAGGCUUGAGAAAAUACAAGAAAACGUCACAGAGGGAAAUGCCAUUCUAGUGGUUGUUUCCCCAUUUGAAAGUCCAUCUUGUGCUGCUGCUGCUCCACAUCUC